rnacentral:rRNA from 1 species
UACAGAGGUCCCGAGCGCUGUUCGGAUUCACUGGGCGUAAAGGGCGCGUAGGCGGCGCGGGUAGUCAACGGUGAAAGCUUGGGGCUCAACCCCGAGUCGGCCGUCGAUACUCCCGUGCUUGAGCACUGUAGAGGCAGGUGGAAUUCCGGGUGUAGCGGUGGAAUGCGUAGAGAUCCGGAAGAACACCGGUGGCGAAGGCGGCCUGCUGGGCAGUAGCUGACGCUGAGGCGCGACAGCGUGGGGAGCAAACAGG